CCUGUAGGUGAACCUGCGGAAGGAUCAUUA
rnacentral:rRNA from 1 species